rnacentral:rRNA from 1 species
UACAGAGGUAGCGAACGUUGUCCGGAUUUACUGGGCGUAAAGGGAUCGUAGGUGGUCAUAUAAGUCGGAUGUGAAAUCGUCUUGCUCAACAAGACCAUUGCAUCUGAUACUGUAUGGCUUGAGUGCAGGAUGGGUAAAUGGAAUUUCCGGUGUAGCGGUGAAAUGCGUAGAUAUCGGAAAGAACACCCGUGGCGAAGGCGGUUUACUGGCCUGCAACUGACACUGAGGAUCGAAAGCCAGGGGAGCAAACGGG